GACAGAGGAUGCAAGCGUUAUCCGGAAUGAUUGGGCGUAAAGCGUCUGUAGGUGGUUUAUUAAGUCUGCUGUUAAAGAUCAGGGCUUAACCCUGAGCAGGCAAUAGAAACUAAUAAGCUAGAGUACGGUAGGGGCAGAGGGAAUUCCCGGUGUAGCGGUGAAAUGCGUAGAGAUCGGGAAGAACACCAACGGCGAAAGCACUCUGCUGGGCCGAAACUGACACUGAGAGACGAAAGCUAGGGGAGCAAAUGGG
rnacentral:rRNA from 1 species